UAUGGCCAUAUAACUAUGAAACCCCUGUUCUCGUACAAUCACCGAUGUUAAGCAACAUCGAGCCUAGUCAAUACCUAGAUGGGUAUCCGCUUGGGAAUAUCAGGUAA